GACGAACGCUGGCGGCGUGCUUAACACAUGCAAGUCGAACGCUGAAGCUCAGCUUGCUGGGUGGAUGAGUGGCGAACGGGUGAGUAACACGUGAGUAACCUGCCCUCUUCUUUGGGAUAACGCCCGGAAACGGGUGCUAAUACUGGAUAUUCACUGAUUCUCGCAUGGGGGUUGGUGGAAAGGUUUUUUCUGGUGGGGGAUGGGCUCGCGGCCUAUCAGCUUGUUGGUGGGGUGAUGGCCUACCAAGGCUUUGACGGGUAGCCGGCCUGAGAGGGUGACCGUGCGCAUUGGGGCUGGGAGGCGGACAAGACGCCUAGGGGGGGCAGCAGUGGGACAUAGUGCACAGUGGGAGAACGCGUGGGGGUGCGAGGCGGCGGGGGGGAUGGGGUCGUGCGGGUUGUACACCUCUUGCGCGCAUGGCAAGGCCGAGGUGGGGGGGUGUGGGGGGGGGGGUGGGAAAAGACGCGCGGGCUAACUACGUGCCAGCAGGCGCGGUGGGAAGACCACCCGUCUGACC
rnacentral:rRNA from 1 species